AGCCCAGCAACUCCUAUCCCUACCUCCUCGUGGUACUGGCCGGGGAACGAGUAACCUUAGGGAAGA
rnacentral:ribozyme from 1 species